rnacentral:lncRNA from 1 species
GACAAGACGAAGGCUGAGCAGGGCUCAGCCUCUCACAGGUGAGGGGGGAGCUGGGCUGCUCUCUGGCAGGAGGAAGGGUCUUGUGCCAGCCUAGAGAGCCUGUGCUCAUCCCCAGGGAACAGUUCUGCCCUGCAUGUGCCCCCUGCAAUGAGCUGUGCUGCUGCCAGUGCCCCGUGCAGCUGUAGGGCUGCUCAGCUGUGGGGCAGGGACAGGAGCAGGAGGCUGCAUGUGCAGCUGAGCCAUGGCUGCAAAGCCCAGGGCUCUGGGCUCCCUGCUGUCCCAGGCCAGCCCAGAGGCCAGGCUGUCCCUGUGGGAGCUCUGUGCAAGCGGGACAGGGCUUUUCCUCUGGAGUGCUUCAAGGGUCUUCAUGCCUGGAAAUGUCAACUUGUGCAGCUAUUUAGGAGUUUUCAAGGAGUCUCUCCCACAAAAUAUGGAGCUUCUGAUGCUUUAAGUUUGCUUUGCUGCCUCAGUAACAUUUUUUGUUUCUUCUUUGCAGGGCUGACUAGGUUCAUUUUUUCCAAAUCUUUCCGGCGAUCUCCUUCUAUGCUCCUUGCCUCCGCUCUGUUUCCUCCCAGCUGGAAAAACUCUCAGUCUUCCAACAGAAGAGAAAUGUGCAGAGUUGAGAAGGAGAGUGGGAAAAAUGGCAGUGGGUACGAUGAAGACACCAGAGAAAGAGAGGAGCUGAGGUCAAAGGGAAAAAGUUGUAAGGCUUCCUUGCUGUAUCCCACUGAAGGGGAUAAGAAGAAGGAAUCACUGGGACUGCCUUUGAUCCCCCCGAUACGCAGGGCAGUAAGUCUCGAUGUUGGCAGUGCUGCAGGGUCUCUGCAAAGCUCUCUGCAGCUGGAUGUGCAAGAGUCCCAGGAGAUGAGGUCCACACCCGGCAGCAGAAGUGAAGAUGAUGACUCAGAAGAAGGAGGUUGGUACAGGGCAUGUCUGUCCUCAAAUGACCAUUGGAAUUUUGACUCAGAGGUGACUUUUUGAAA